rnacentral:rRNA from 1 species
GAUGAACGCUGGCGGCGUGCUUAAUACAUGCAAGUCGAGCGAACAGACGAGGAGCUUGCUCCUCUGACGUUAGCGGCGGACGGGAGAGUAACACGUGGAUAACCUACCUAUAAGACUGGGAUAACUUCGGGAAACCGGAGCUAAUACCGGAUAAUAUAUUGAACCGCAUGGUUCAAUAGUGAAAGACGGUUUUGCUGGCACUUAUAGCUGGAUCCGCGCCGCAUUAGCUAGUUGGUAAGGUAACGGCUUACCAAGGCAACGAUGCGUAGCCGACCGGAGAGGGUGGUCGGCCACACGGGAGCGGAGACGCCGUCCAGGGUCCUACGGGAGGCAGCAGUCGGGAAUGGGCGGCAAUGGGCGGAAGCCUGACGGAGCAGCGCCGCGUGAGUGAUGAAGGUCUUCGGAGCGUAAAACUCUGUUAUGGGGGAAGAACAAAUGUGUAAGGAACUAAGCACGUCUUGACGGUACCUAGUCAGAAAGCCACGGCUAACUACGUG